GAUGAAGAACGCAGCGAAAUGCGAUAAGUAAUGUGAAUUGCAGAAUUCAGUGAAUCAUCGAAUCUUUGAACGCAUCUUGCGCUCCUUGGUAUUCUGAGGAGCAUGCCUGUUUGAGUGUCAUUAAAUUCUCAACUACACUGACUUUGAAUUGGUGUGGCUUGGAUUUGGGGGGAAAAUUGUUGUGCGCUUUUUGUAUAGUCUGCUCCCCUGAAAUUGAUUAGCGGUACCUUUGUGGAACUGUCUACAGGUGUGAUAAUUAUCUACAUCUUAGACAUCUGCUGGAAUGCUGCUUUCUAAACCUUACUUGUAUUGACAAUCUUGACCUCAAAUCAGGUAGGACUACCCGCUGAACUUAAGCAUAUCAAUAAGCGGAGGA
rnacentral:misc_RNA from 1 species